UCUCUAGUGACCGAUAGUGAACCAGUACCGUGAGGGAAAGGUGAAAAGCACCCCGGAAGGGGAGUGAAAUAGAACCUGAAACCGUGUGCUUACAAGUAGUCAGAGCCCGUUAAUGGGUGAUGGCGUGCCUUUUGUAGAAUGAACCGGCGAGUUACGAUUUGAUGCAAGGUUAAGCAGUAAAUGUGGAGCCGUAGCGAAAGCGAGUCUGAAUAGGGCGUUUAGUAUUUGGUCGUAGACCCGAAACCAGGUGAUCUACCCUUGGUCAGGUUGAAGUUCAGGUAACACUGAAUGGAGGACCGAACCGACUUACGUUGAAAAGUGAGCGGAUGAACUGAGGGUAGCGGAGAAAUUCCAAUCGAACCUGGAGAUAGCUGGUUCUCUCCGAAAUAGCUUUAGGGCUAGCCUCAAGUGAUGAUUAUUGGAGGUAGAGCACUGUUUGGACGAGGGGCCCCUCUCGGGUUACCGAAUUCAGACAAACUCCGAAUGCCAAUUAAUUUAACUUGGGAGUCAGAACAUGGGUGAUAAGGUCCGUGUUCGAAAGGGAAACAGCCCAGACCACCAGCUAAGGUCCCAAAAUAUAUGUUAAGUGGAAAAGGAUGUGGCGUUGCCCAGACAACUAGGAUGUUGGCUUAGAAGCAGCCAUCAUUUAAAGAGUGCGUAAUAGCUCACUAGUCGAGUGACACUGCGCCGAAAAUGUACCGGGGCUAAACAUAUUACCGAAGCUGUGGAUUGUCCUUUGGACAAUGGUAGGAGAGCGUUCUAAGGGCGUUGAAGCAUGAUCGUAAGGACAUGUGGAGCGCUUAGAAGUGAGAAUGCCGGUGUGAGUAGCGAAAGACGGGUGAGAAUCCCGUCCACCGAUUGACUAAGGUUUCCAGAGGAAGGCUCGUCCGCUCUGGGUUAGUCGGGUCCUAAGCUGAGGCCGACAGGCGUAGGCGAUGGAUAACAGGUUGAUAUUCCUGUACCACCUAUAAUCGUUUUAAUCGAUGGGGGGACGCAGUAGGAUAGGCGAAGCGUGCGAUUGGAUUGCACGUCUAAGCAGUAAGGCUGAGUAUUAGGCAAAUCCGGUACUCAUUAAGGCUGAGCUGUGAUGGGGAGAAGACAUUGUGUCUUCGAGUCGUUGAUUUCACACUGCCGAGAAAAGCCUCUAGAUAGAAAAUAGGUGCCCGUACCGCAAACCGACACAGGUAGUCAAGAUGAGAAUUCUAAGGUGAGCGAGCGAACUCUCGUUAAGGAACUCGGCAAAAUGACCCCGUAACUUCGGGAGAAGGGGUGCUCUUUAGGGUUAACGCCCAGAAGAGCCGCAGUGAAUAGGCCCAAGCGACUGUUUAUCAAAAACACAGGUCUCUGCUAAACCGUAAGGUGAUGUAUAGGGGCUGACGCCUGCCCGGUGCUGGAAGGUUAAGAGGAGUGGUUAGCUUCUGCGAAGCUACGAAUCGAAGCCCCAGUAAACGGCGGCCGUAACUAUAACGGUCCUAAGGUAGCGAAAUUCCUUGUCGGGUAAGUUCCGACCCGCACGAAAGGCGUAACGAUUUGGGCACUGUCUCAACGAGAGACUCGGUGAAAUCAUAGUACCUGUGAAGAUGCAGGUUACCCGCGACAGGACGGAAAGACCCCGUGGAGCUUUACUGUAGCCUGAUAUUGAAAUUCGGCACAGCUUGUACAGGAUAGGUAGGAGCCUUUGAAACGUGAGCGCUAGCUUACGUGGAGGCGCUGGUGGGAUACUACCCUAGCUGUGUUGGCUUUCUAACCCGCACCACUUAUCGUGGUGGGAGACAGUGUCAGGCGGGCAGUUUGACUGGGGCGGUCGCCUCCUAAAAGGUAACGGAGGCGCUCAAAGGUUCCCUCAGAAUGGUUGGAAAUCAUUCAUAGAGUGUAAAGGCAUAAGGGAGCUUGACUGCGAGACCUACAAGUCGAGCAGGGUCGAAAGACGGACUUAGUGAUCCGGUGGUUCCGCAUGGAAGGGCCAUCGCUCAACGGAUAAAAGCUACCCCGGGGAUAACAGGCUUAUCUCCCCCAAGAGUUCACAUCGACGGGGAGGUUUGGCACCUCGAUGUCGGCUCAUCGCAUCCUGGGGCUGUAGUCGGUCCCAAGGGUUGGGCUGUUCGCCCAUUAAAGCGGUACGCGAGCUGGGUUCAGAACGUCGUGAGACAGUUCGGUCCCUAUCCGUCGUGGGCGUAGGAAAUUUGAGAGGAGCUGUCCUUAGUACGAGAGGACCGGGAUGGACAUACCUCUGGUGUACCAGUUGUCGUGCCAACGGCAUAGCUGGGUAGCUAUGUGUGGACGGGAUAAGUGCUGAAAGCAUCUAAGCAUGAAGCCCCCCUCAAGAUGAGAUUUCCCAACUUCGGUUAUAAGAUCCCUCAAAGAUGAUGAGGUUAAUAGGUUCGAGGUGGAAGCAUGGUGACAUGUGGAGCUGACGAAUACUAAUCGAUCGAAGACUUAAUCAA
rnacentral:rRNA from 1 species